GUAGUUUUUGCCACGGUGUUUAGGUACCUUGUGACACCUUCGAGCGUGUUUCAAAAAAUGACGGUCUGUUAC